GAAUUCUUCAUCCAAUUGAAAUUUGAAUAUAUUAUUAAAUUGUGUCACCUAUGUAGUAGAACUGUGGAGUUAUUUUAGAAAUUGGUGCCUUCUAGGCAGAGAAAAGUCAGAAAAUGUGGUUUUUUGCUCAUGUGGAUGAAAAACACCAAGUCCCAGAAUGCAUUGCUUCGCUGCUUUACGAGGCCACUCCCUAGUCACGCCUAGCGGUUCGAGACGGCAGGAGGGAGGGAGAUUCAACUCGGCUAAAUACAACUUUUACAUACACGUCUGCAACGAUUUAGUUGAUAUAUUAUUAUAAAUACUACCUUUUCCACAUUGAAAUGAUGAUACGUUGCGUUGUAACGGGAUGUUCAACCAAAACCGGGAAAGGACAAGCAGUAAGUUUUCAUCAUUUGCCGCGGUGUAAACAAUGGCUGCGGGCUAUCAACCACGCAAAGUUCAGAGAAGACAACGACGCGGUAAAAUUGAAAAACCUGAGGGUUUGCAGUCUCCAUUUCAAGCUGGAAGAUAUCGAACCCAAUGUACUCGGAAUGCAGUGAAACACGCUAAAGGACACUGCGAUUCCGUAUAUAUGUACCUUCACAGACACGACGAACAGCCGGGGCCAUCUGGCAUCAAACGCAUUCGUCUACGUUAGAGGUUUCCGGAAGAAGAUGCAGAAGAAGGGGAUAAAAGAACAAUGAAAUCCUCCUUGCAUGGACCAGGUCUGUCAUAAAUCAUAUGUGGUUUUCCUGUGCAACCAGUAAGGGGGACAUCGAGGAGAAGCACGGUUGAACCAAAUGUUCUGCAAGAAAUCCAAGCAGUGGGUCUUGAAGAAAAGCUUCAUACCACACACCACACAGUUUGUAGACGAACUCAUCCAGAAGGCCAUUGACAAGACUCAAUCCAAACAUUGUGUUCAAAGUGCCAACGUCCUCACUUGCCCUGCCACAGCCUGCGCUGCCACCCAACAUUGCACCAGUGCCUAAACCAUCAAAGGAGGCUGCCACGACUUCUUUCAAAAGUCGCUUCUGAGACUGACACUUUCUAAUAAUAAUAAUAAUAAUCACCUCUUCCCUGAGUCCUAUUGCUGUGUCUAAUCAGAUUCUGCCACCACUCUUUAUAUUUAUAUUAUUUUAUACUGUGUGUAUAUAUACACAAUGUUUUUGUGUAUAUUUUUGCUUUGUUUUUAUUUUGUGCAGGACAUUUUUAGAUGUAAAUUAUGUCAUUGUUUAUUUUAAUGUGUUCUUUUCACUGGUGACACAAUAUUUUUCCUUUGUGAAUAAUAGAAAAUAAAUAUCUUCAUCUAACUCUGUCUUUUGUACACCAAAUUUAUACAUUAUAGACUUGUAGAGGCGCAAUG